CUGGGGGUUGGUAUCGCCAUAAAAAAUCACUCCCUCUGGAUCCCAGGUUCGAAGCUCAAAGGAGGAAGAGGUUCUGGAAGGACAUAGAAGGAAAGAUGAGCCUGACCUGGGUCCUCGAAGUCUUUUGCCCACCUGAGGAGGCUGCCUCCCCAGGCCCGAGGUCCAGACGCAGUCCUGCCCUGUACGCCAAGCAGCAUCCUCCAUCAGAACAACAGCGGAGGGGCGCCUGGGUGGGUGGCUCGGUGGGUUAAGCCUCCGACUUCGGCUCAGGUCCUGAUCUCACCAUUGAGGUUGAACAGCACCACGGGACGACCAGCACCCAGGCAACCACAGCGAGGGAGCCCGCAGUCCAGCCUUGACCCCUGCCCGGGGGCCCAGUCACGGGGCUGGC